AAGUCGUAACAAGGUUUCCGUAGGUGAACCUGCGGAAGGAUCAUUACCCUUUUUUACGGGGGGCCGGAUCCAAAGUUUGGGGCCUCGGUCUCACUCUUUGCCCCGCCCUGUCUGAAUCUACCCAUGUUUUUUGCGUACUUUCUGUUUCCUUGGUGGGCUUGCCCGCCACAAGGACACUAUAACAACCUUUUUGCAAUUGCAGUCAGCGUCAGAAAACAAUAAUAUUCAA
rnacentral:misc_RNA from 1 species